UGGGGAAUAUUGGACAAUGGGCGCAAGCCUGAUCCAGCCAUGCCGCGUGAGUGAUGAAGGCCUUAGGGUUGUAAAGCUCUUUCGUCAGGGAAGAUAAUGACGGUACCUGAAGAAGAAGCCCCGGCUAACUUCGUGCCAGCAGCCGCGGUAAUACGAAGGGGCUAGCGUUGCUCGGAAUCACUGGGCGUAAAGCGCACGUAGGCGGCUUUCUAAGUCAGGGGUGAAAUCCCGGGGCUCAGCCCCGGAACUGCCUUUGAUACUGGAGAGCUUGAGUUCGGGAGAGGUGAGUGGAACUGCGAGUGUAGAGGUGAAAUUCGUAGAUAUUCGCAAGAACACCAGUGGCGAAGGCGGCUCACUGGCCCGAUACUGACGCUGAGGUGCGAAAGCGUGGGGAGCAAACAG
rnacentral:rRNA from 1 species